rnacentral:rRNA from 1 species
UACGAAGGGGGCUAGCGUUGUUCGGAUUUACUGGGCGUAAAGCGCACGUAGGCGGAUCGUUAAGUCGGGGGUGAAAUCCUGGAGCUCAACUCCAGAACUGCCUUCGAUACUGGCGAUCUUGAGUCCGGAAGAGGUGAGUGGGAACUCCUAGUGUAGAGGUGGAAUUCGUAGAUAUUAGGAAGAACACCAGUGGCGAAGGCGGCUCACUGGUCCGGUACUGACGCUGAGGAGCGAAAGCAUGGGGAGCGAACGAGG